CCCAGCUCUCCUCCCAAAAGGUUUUCCAGGAGAUAUUGGGAUUCCUGGACAAAACGGCCCUGAAGGACCAAAGGGACUCCUUGGAAAUAGAGGACCUCCUGGACCUCCUGGUCUCAAAGGAACUCAGGGAGAAGAAGGACCAAUUGGAGCCUUUGGGGAACUGGGGCCAAGAGGAAAACCAGGUCAAAAGGGGUAUGCAGGUGAACCAGGACCAGAAGGCUUAAAGGGAGAAGUAGGAGAUCAAGGAAAUAUUGGAAAAAUUGGUGAAACAGGACCUGUUGGCUUACCUGGAGAAGUUGG
rnacentral:lncRNA from 10 species